AUUAAAUUAUUUAUUUUAUAAUAAUUUAAAUAAAAUAUUUUUAAGUUUUAUUAUAUAUUUAGAAAAAAUUUUUUUAAUUAUAGAUUAAAGUAUAGUGAUAGAUUUUUGAAAUAAAUUGAAAAAUAAAAUAUUAUAAAGAAUAAUUAAUUUUUAGUACCUUGUGUAUCAGGGUUGAUUAAAAAUAAAUUAUUUAUUUAAUUUUCUCGAUUUUAAAAGAGUUAAGAAAAUAUUUUUUUUAAUAUUAAAUAAUUAUUAAUAAUAUUUUUUUAGUAAUGAAAUGUUAGUCGUUUUUAAAUAUAUCUAGUUUUUUAAGAAAUAAAUUUAAUUUAGUUAUUAAUAAUAAUUUUUUUUUAUAUAAAAGAAAAUUAUAUUAAUAAAUAAUAUUUUAAGGGAUAAGCUUUAAAAUAAAAUUUUAUAAUAAGAUUAAUAAUAAAAAAUAUGUAGAAUUAAAAAUUUUAAUUAUUAAUAAUUUGUUACAAUUAAUUUUUACUAAAUUAUUAUUUUUAUAUUAUUUAUAUUUUUAUUAAAAUUAUUUAUUUAAUAAUAUUGAUAAAUGUAAUAAUGAUUAAAUUAGUAUUAUAUAUAUAUAUAUAUAUAAAUAUAUUAAAGUAUAUAGGUAAAAUUAAGGAAUUCGGCAAAAUAAUUUUUCGCCUGUUUAUUAAAAACAUGUCUUUUUGAUAAUAAUUUAAAGUCUAGCCUGCCCAAUGAAAAUUUAAUGGCCGCGGUAUUUUGACCGUGCAAAGGUAGCAUAAUCAUUAGUUUUUUAAUUGAAAGCUUGUAUGAAGGGCUGAACGAGAAAAUUACUGUCUCAAUUUUAUUUUAAAAGAAUUUUAUUUUUAAGUUAAAAAGCUUAAAUUUAUUUAAAAGACGAGAAGACCCUAUAGAGUUUAAUAUUUACUUAAUUUUUUAAAUAAUUUAUAAUUAUAAAAAUUUAACUAAAUAUUUUAUUGGGGUGAUAAAUAAAUUUACUAAACUUUAUUUAUUUUUUUACAUAAAUUUAUGAUUUAUUUGAUCCAAUGUUUUUGAUUAUAAGAUUAAAUUACCUUAGGGAUAACAGCGUAAUUUUUUUUGAGAGUUCUAAUCGAAAAAAAAGAUUGCGACCUCGAUGUUGGAUUAAAAUUUAUUUUUGGUGUAGAAGCUAAAAUAUUAAGUCUGUUCGACUUUUAAAAUUUUACAUGAUCUGAGUUUAAACCGGUGUGAGCCAGGUUGGUUUCUAUCUUUAAAAAAAAUAAAAUAUUUUAGUACGAAAGGACCUAAUAUUUAUAAUAUUUAUUAAUUUUUGAUUAUUAUU
rnacentral:rRNA from 1 species